rnacentral:rRNA from 1 species
AACGAACGCUGGCGGCAUGCCUAACACAUGCAAGUCGAACGAGACCUUCGGGCUUAGUGGCGCAGGGGUGCGUAACGCGGGGGGACCUGCCCGUAGGUUAGGAAUAACUCCCCGUAGGGGGUGCUAAUACCGGAUAGUGUCUUAGGGCCAAAGAUCUAUGGCCUUUGGGUGGGCGCGCGUUGGAUUCGGUGGUUGGUAGGGUACAAGCAUACUAAGGGGUGGUUCGUUAGCUGGUAGGGGAGGAUGCUCUGCCACACUGGGGCUGAGACACGGCCCAGAAUCGUACGCAAGGCAGGAGAGGGGAAUACAGGACGAUGGAGGAAGGCCUGAUCCCGCAAUGCCGGGUGAGUGAUGAAGGGCGUAGGGUUGUAAAGCUCUUUUAGCCGGGAUGAUAAUGACGGUACCGGGAGAAUAAGCACCGGCUAACUCCGUG